rnacentral:tRNA from 1 species
GCCGAUGUGGCGAAAUGGUAGACGCGCAUGCUUCAGGUGCAUGUGAACCUAGUUCAUGGGGGUUCAAGUCCCCCCAUCGGCA